rnacentral:rRNA from 1 species
UACGAAGGGGGCUAGCGUUGUUCGGAAUCACUGGGCGUAAAGCGCACGCAGGCGGAUUGAUAAGUCAGGGGUGAAAUCCCGGAGCUCAACUUCGGAAUUGCCUUUGAUACUGUCUGUCUUGAGUCCGGGAGAGGUGAGUGGAAUUCCUAGUGUAGAGGUGAAAUUCGUAGAUAUUAGGAAGAACACCAGUGGCGAAGGCGACUUACUGGAUCAUUACUGACGCUGAGGCUCGAAAAGCGUGGGGAGCAAACAGG